rnacentral:lncRNA from 1 species
GACAGGCCCCCGGAGGGUGGGGCCCCUGCAGAGAGCCCUUCUCUAGGACGGGGCACCUGCCUAGGGGGCCUGAGAUGAGGUCGGCCUUGGCUCAUCACCUGGGGAGAGUGGAUCUAGGAGGCCCGAGCAAAGCUACCUGGGCCCAGUCUGGGUGGAGCCCCCGAGGCGGGAGGGUGGAGCCUCGCGGACCCUGGCUGGGGUCGGGGCAGAAUCCAGGCCUGGGGAGCUCCAGGUGAGACGGGGAGUCCUCAGCCCAGUCAGCUGUGAGGCCACGGGACCCUGGGACAGGGCGGGCUCUGGCCACUAAACAGCAAAGCAGGCGGAGACAUCCUAUGCCAUUCCACGUGGGAGCCUCAGACUCUCAGGAGUCCUGACUGGCCCCAGGGUCUUUGGCCACGUUUGGAUCCAGGUCGCGUAGGGUCAGGAUCCAGCGUUUCCCGCGGGCUCUGAGGAGAGAAGGGAACCGGAAGGUUCUGGUCCUGUCGGAGAUGUGUGGAGAGUUGCUUUUCCAGAAGAAAUACCAACUCCCACAUUUAAGUUUAGGCAGUUGACCAACUUUGAAAAGCUUGGAACUUUUGUUUGGCGUUGAAGCCACAUGAUCUGUCGCCCAUGGAAACAGCAGAAUUCCAUAAGGACUGGGUGGGGAACCCACACUCUCUACCGGGCGCCAGCCACAGGCUGUCUCUUGCGUGAGUUCUGACGUGAACAACGGAGUAGAACAUGUUGUCAUUUGUUUGUUGACAUCGCGGAUGAAGGAGCAGAAUCCAUUUUGCGGGGAAAGAUGUGGGAACACUGUUGGAUACAGCCGCAGGGGAUCACUGGGCGCCUUAAAGAGAGCGCUUGCUACUUCGUGCUGGGGGAGAAGAGACGAGUGAGUGACUGGUUGCAGAUGAAGAUGAAGCCCUGGGGAUGGGUGUGCUGUGAGUUGAAACGACCCUGGGCUCUGAGUCAUCAUGUGGAGCAGUCCUACGCGCCAACAAAACCACGUGCCUUGGACUGGAAUUUUUAAAUUCCUUUCACAACCUUAAUGAAGAUAGUUGUUAUGAAAAAACUGGAGGAAGAGAUGUUAGACUUGUUCAGAGUGACUAUAUUAGACAGACAUAUGAACGCUGAUCAGAAGUCAACAUGCUGGAUUUCAUGCGGCAAGUUCCCAGGAGAAUUCUCUAGGGAUGGCAUACAUUAUCUAAAAAGGUAGUUAUUAUGUGUUCACUAGGUUUAAGCAUAAGCUGGAUAAGAAUUUGGUUUGGAUUGACUGAUUAAUUAAGCAAAUAUUUACUAAGUGCUUUACACAUGCCAGAAACUAUUGAGUGCUGGGGAUUUAGCAGUAAACCAAACUGACUGAAAUCUGUUGUGGGGAAUAAAUUUUAGUGGGGAAAAAAAAAAAAAAUUCUAAUUAGAAGAUACUAAA